UCAGUCUCCAGGGUGUCCAGAGAAGGCAAACAGUGUUCCUCAGCUGUCCUCACCUGUGACUGCAAGCCGAGCUGUUGAGAUGUAUAGAGAUCGUCCUAGGGAGAAAACGAGUGGUUGGAGCACUGCUCUGAGUAGUGCUCUAUUGCCGAAGAGCCAGCAAGUCCCAUCUGCCACCACCACCCUCCUGUGAAUGAAAUGGCUGCAAAAAAAAAGUUCUGGGAGGCAAUUCACACGCAGAAGUUAUUCUUGAAGGGAUGAUGUUUGCGGAGCUGGGAACACUGACUCACUCCUGCCGUCCUCGCAGGCUCCAAGGCRUGAUGCAGAGGAGACAAGCUGAGGAUGGAGAGAAACUUAACAAACCUGCCCUAGAGAAACCAAGUACUCUAAAGUAGCCCACAAAAAUUUCAGCCUGUUCCAUGCUGAAAAUAGGGCUYGGGCCCUUGUAGGGCAGAGACUCGUCAGGAAGGCCUCCACGGCCCUGGCACGCUGGACAGGGGAGUCUGCAAGUCUCUGGUUUGUGUCAGCUGUUUGUGUGCCCCAGGGGACACUGCACUGACCUUAUUGCGUCUGGUCGCUCUCGCUACCAACUACAGGGCUCCUCGGCGGGAUUAAAAGUGGAUUUUUCAGC
rnacentral:lncRNA from 1 species